rnacentral:rRNA from 1 species
GCGUUGUCCGGAAUCAUUGGGCGUAAAGCGCACGUAGGCGGCCCGGUAAGUCCGUUGUGAAAGUCAGAGGCUCAACCUCUGGAGGCCAAUGGAUACUGCCGGGCUAGAGUCCGGAAGAGGCGAGUGGAACUCCUGGUGUAGCGGUGGAAUGCGCAGAUAUCAGGAAGAACACCAAUAGCGAAGGCAGCUCGCUGGGACGGUACUGACGCUGAGGUGCGAAAGCGUG